rnacentral:lncRNA from 1 species
GUGAUGCCUUGGCUCUGGACAAAAGGCAUGCAAGUGUAGGGUAGUUGGAAAUUUAAAUGCACUGUAGAAAAUCAUCUUGAUCUGACUGCAUUUUUCUAGACGUGAUGUACUUACAGAAUGGUCUCCAGAUCUCAAACUCAACUUGAAAAACUGGAAUAUGCAUUGACUAGGGAGCCAUACCUUAAGGCUUUCACUACUGGACAAAUAACAAAUCCCUAAGAAUAAUGACAUCAUCAUAGCUGAAGCUCAUAACUCAGAUGUAUCCUGGAAGAUCCUGGGAGGAACAUGAAUGUCAGAGAACAGCAUGAGAAGACAUAAAAAACAUAAUUUUCUGUUGAAAGUCUUUCACAAUUAGUAAUAAAUCAUUAUGAAGGGAAAUGAGGAAGGGUUGUCUGGAAGAAAUAAUUAUUUGAGCAGAGGAGGAGAUAUGCCACACUUCUCCUUUCAGUCUUUUAUAUAUAUAUAUUAUACAUAUUUAUUUUACAUAUAUUUAUAUAAAAUAUAUAAAUUUAUAAAUAUAUAUAUAUAAAUCCAACUGAGAUAUUUUAUCAAAAUUCUGAAAUUCAAGCUUAUUAUGCCAAAGAAAUAAAUUGUUGAAUUCAGAACUUUCUGAUACAAAAUUAUUCUAAGUUUUUGGGUUCCUACAUUUUCUGCAUUUAUAUCUUUUUCCUCACUUUCAACUCCUUUUGUCACUGGCUCCAGAUAUUAUACAGCUACUUUGUUUCAUCUGAAGGGGAACAAUGGAAGAAAAGGUGUAUGAAAAAGUGAUGGCAAUUUUUUAUUUUUAUUUCCAGCUUUUCUGCACCAGAAUAAUUCUUGUUACUGUAUUAAAUAGGAAGAAUCUAAGUAUUAAGACAGAGAUCUGGAGGAAAAAAAACCAAGAAAACUGAAACAAUUAUUUUAGUCAAUGUUUGGAAAAACAUGAUAAUUGAAAAAAAAAUUAGAAGAGUGCUCAUAUUUGAUGGUCUUAUUUUUUCAGAACAGUCUCUUAUAUUGACUUAAUGAUGUCCACUGGAAUUGAAACAACAGUGCCUACACAAGGGACUUACUCUCUUUAAUUGCAUCAGUUGAAAGUGAUUCAACUUUUUGGUCAGAGAUGAACACAGGAAAAUGGAAAAAUAAAUGUGUAUUUUUUUGUGUGUGUUUUUUUUUUUGUUGUUUUUUUUAAUAGUAAAAUAAAGGGAAGGAAGCAAGGCAAACAACUUAUGGCCCUGAAAUACCAUAUUAUUAUAUCUAGGAAACCAUGACCAAAAGAUGCUAAUUUGUCUCAACUCACUCACUGUGAGGGUUCCCUUUGAUCCUCCUGCCUUUCUUAGAGUGUGAUGUUCUCACAUUUUAAUGCAGUAUCAUUUGACAUUGAGAUGCAGGGAAAAUUGUCCAGUAAACAGCUUUCUUGUACUGAUUUGGAGCUUGUGGGAAAGAUUACAGCGUGAGCUGGAGCCUGCCACAAGAGAAAUGGAUUAUUACUCUGGGAACACUUACAUCAAGAAGGGCCCUUUUACAGCUGAAAGAGGCAACCUUUUACAAAGAGCUGUGUUCUGUGAACUCCUUGUCAGCUUGCUGAAAGUGCUAACUCACUUACAGCAUACAGGUCAUUCCUCCCUAGAAACAGGAGAAAAUCUUUAGCAUGCUAUUUGUGACUUCUUCUCCUUGAAUGUAAAGAUGUUUUCUACAAAAUGACACCCUGUCAAAGAAAAACUAAAAAUCAGAUUUAAUGAGACAGACAGUUUAGGGAGGCAAGAGAAAAGGGGUGGCUUAAGAGACAUCAACGUUACAUUCACCGUAGCUUAAGCUUUCGGCAAACCAGCCCCCAUGGUUUGGAAAGGAUGGGAGUGGUGGCAUUUUCCAAAUGAAAUCCAGUUGUGAUAAAACUUAGGGCUGGGUAACAAGGUCUCCCUGAAUUUCCCCGCCCCUGAAAUCCUGCUUUUCUUGCUAUUGGUUUCAAUGUUGUGAUAAAAUUAAAAACCUCACAAGGGACUGUUUUUAAUUUUGGUUUUGAAAGAUUUUUUUUUCCUCAAGUCAAAGAGAACUAUAGAAUAAAUUAUUACAAGGACAUUAAAAGGAUUUCAUUUCCUUGAGCAUACAUAUGCAUUCUAGUGCAGCAUGUCCUCUCCCUCCCAGUGUAGCCAUUGAUCCACAGCUUUUAUAAUGAACUCUAAUAACAACUCUAUUACUGCAGGGCUUCUGAUUGGCUCAGGCACCCACAAAAUUAGCUACAAAGAAGCCAGCUUGUCAAUAUUAAUUCCGCCACAGAGAUUACUUGUUAUGGUAGAACAAAGGUGUUUUGGCUCGGGCUGAACAACUUAACUCCUUGUCUCAUAAAAUUUAAGCUGCUAUUGAUCGCCUUCUUCUAUUGUGCUCAAGGAUUAAAAAAAACACGAGCGCUCGCGCACGCAUGCAGACAGACACCAGUGUGCUGAAUCACUCUGAUGCAUUCUCCUAAACCAGCAGCCCCCCUUUCCCUUCCCUCCCUGGAUAGGAAGAAUCAUUCAGUAACAUGAAGCAAAUUAAAUCAAUGAAUUCAUCCUAGCAGAUGGGUGCUUUAACAGUCAGUUAGCCUUUAGAUAAUUGAGGCGUUGACUCCGGAAUCAUAAAAUGGAUGGCUCGUUUGUACAUUUUACUGAAAUAGAUCACUGAGGUUAAAUAAAUGAAAUCCCAUUUGUCAGCCGGUAAUAAAUGGCCUCCCCUUCUGCAAACAGCUCUGUUUGGCCUAAUAAAUACAGGGAUGUUACAGUGCUCCUCCCUUGAUAGGGUUAUGGCUUAAUGAAAUGGUCUUUCCUCUGCUUGUUUUUGCCUCCUCCUGCACCGUGUGAUAAGUAGCGAACCAACGAAGCUUGUAAUUACAAUCUUACAGAGAACCCAGCCAAUCUGUAUAUAAAUCUCACCAUCCAAUUACAAGAUGUAAUAAUUUUGCAGUCAAGCUGGUAAUGAGGUCUAAUACUCAUGCAUGUGAUAAUCCCCCCUGGAUGCUGACUCUAUCAGAUGUUAGCUUUGUAAUUAUACUGGCAGAAAAUCAUUAUUUCAUGUUCAGCAGAAAAAUGAGGUUGGUGGGAAGUUAAUUUUCUCUAUGCUCUGUGAAGCAUAGACAAAAUUUUAAUGAUUUAAUCAUUAUGGUUAUCCCUUUUGCAAUUGACCCGCGCUACUUCUGUAGAAACAUUGGCACAUUUAAAAGUCCCUGUUACCCGAUAAAGCUUGCCAGGUAUGCAGCUUUUAAUGUAAGAAUAACCGUAUACAAUUAAACUAUUAACCUGCUUGAUAGGGGAAAAAUCAAUAGUUUUUAUGUUUUCAUUAUUUACACAUAGGAUCCAAGGAAAUGUUUAUGUCCAGUCUGUACUGCGAUAAAAAAAGGCUCUUAAAGAAAGAAAAAAGAAAAAUGCUAUAAUUAGGAUGUAAGCCCUCAGAACAAAACAGCAGGUUCACAAUGUUCACAAUGGUAUUUUAGCAGCUCAGUUGUCUUUUGUUCCUUUCCAGUGUAAGAGACAUUUAUAAGAUAUUAUACCUCUGCACAAAGAGCUGAUUACAGCAUUUUUCUCAAGAAAUUGUUUAGAGGAAUCACUUCUGCACAUACAUAUUUUAAUUGUUCUUUCCAUUCUCAAGUUUUUCUUGUUAUUUCUGUUUGUCUAGCUUGCCAAAGGGAAUAACGCAGAGUAGGAGAAAAGUCACAACACUGAGACGGGAGAAUAGAAAAUUGUUAUGAUUUAAUCCCAGAAGGUAGCUCAGCACCACACAGACACUUGCUUACACUCCCCAGGUGGGAUUAGGGGGAGAAUCAGGAAGGUAAAAGUGUGAGAACUCAUGGGUUGAGUUAAAAACAUUUCAUUAGGUAAAGAAAAAGCUGUGUGCACAAGCAAAGCAAAACAAUGAAUUCAUUCAGUGCUUCCCAUCAGCAGGCAGAUGUUCCAAGAAGCAGGGCUCAUCACACAUUCCUUAAGCUGACAAACAUCAUCACUUUGAACAUUUCCCCCUUCCUCCUUUUUUCUCCCAUUUUUAUUGUUCAGCAUGACUUCGUACAGUAUGGUAUGUCUGUUUGAUCAGUCUUGGUCAGGUGUUCUGACGCUGUUCCCUCCCAGCUUCUUGUGCACUUUCAGUUCCUUGCUGGCAGAGCAGCAUGAGGAUUUGAGAAUUAAAAAAGUCCUUGGUUCUGUGUAAACACUGCUCUGUACAAACUAAAAACACUGUUGUGUCAUUACUAUUACUUUAAUCAAAAAUAGAAAACACAGCAUCAUACUAGCCUUAAUGAAGAAAAUUAAUCCUAUCUCAUCCAAAACUAUGAAAAAAUAAGCAGUAGUACAACCCAACACUGCAGAGAAGUGAGUGGACAGGGCAUAAGGCAUCACAUAUUGCACGUUGGUAGCAAAUAUGAUGUAUAAAAAUAAAUUACCUCAAAGAUUCCAGAUAGGGCCAAGACAAAAACUGUGGUCAACCUUUCUGUCCCUGUUCCUCUAUUUUAGGAGAGAAGUCAAGUAUCUGUUAAAUGUUAAUGAAACUAUCGUAAAAUGUGUAAUGUAGAGUUUUCAGCUGAAGACCAGGGGAUAUUUUUCCAAAUCAAACACUUUCAAAGCUACUAAGAUUUGUUAACUUCAUUUUACUUCCUCUAUCUUUUGAUUUUAUGGCUCUAAUGUUCACUUAACUGUCUUAGAGUAUAUGUAUGUAUGUACAUCUAUGCAUAUAUACAUUUAUGUGUAUAUGUAGUAAAAUACAUGUCUGUAUAUAUAUACUCUUUAUCUAAGAUGAACAUUUUCAAAAUGAUAACUGAAUUUUAUCUGCUGGAAAUACUUUCACUGUUCCUUUUGAAAAAGCAGCAGGAUUAGGACUUGUACUGUGCUUCAGCUGGUAAGUUUCACUUGCUCUUGACACAGUAUGUCUGGAAACUUAUCAAACCUGAACCCAACUAGUAUGUGAUGUGUAGAAAUGUUUACCUCAUAUUUGAUUCCUCUUAGGCUUAAGUAUGUUAUGGAAUUGAGCUUUUGUCUCAAGAUAAACACAGUUAUGGAUAAUAUCAAGGGAGUGAGCAUGUAGGUACAACUUCUGAGCCUCUGGGAUGUGAUUUGUUCAACUAACCUCAGAUUUGUCUGUCCUUACCUAGAUGGGUCAGGGUCAUCUAGUGCCACUGAGCUCACCUGGACUGCCAUCUAGUUAUCCUGCCUGAGACAUCUACCUUUGGAUAAGAUUUUAGAAAGAAAUACCGGAACAAAUAUGAUGUACUGCAACCAGAUGGUGACUAUCAGGGAAAAAGACUAAUCACAGGUUAAAGAAGUGCAAUUAAGGGAUAAUUAUUACUUUUUUUAAUCUAUGAAAUUUUCUGCAUGUGUAUGAAAACUUGUUGAAGUUGUAGAUGAUUACAAGGAAAAACACAUCAAAACAAUUUUGUCAAUUCGAUGAAUUUAUUGUUUUUCAUUAUUUCAGUGUUUUAUAAAGAUUCUACAUGGUUAACAUUUCAUGAUAAUUAGGGAGGUGUCAUAAUGCACCUUCUGAAUCUCUAUUAAUAGCAGGUGAGAAAAAAAUGUAUUUAAAAAAAUUAUGUAUAUCAAUGACCACUCCAUAAUUCUGUCCACUUCCAUCCAUCAGCUUCUAAUUGUGUCCUGCUGCUUGUGUAUUCAAGUCUUUCACAUUAUGUCUGGUUUUUUUUUUUGAGACCAGUGUUUAUUCAUAUGGCUAACUGCAAAGGUAGAUGGGUAAAAUGGAAAAGAAAGGUGGGAUCGUGUUUUCCUUUUCUGUCUCCCUUUCUCUCUCUCUCUCUUUUACUCUCCCCCUCUUUUCUAAACAAGCUAAGAGUUUUUAUAAUUCAUCACCUGGCUGACAGAUGAGUUCUGCUGGAGAAUAUUAGAAAAUGUCUCAAAUCUCAUAUAUAUGCUAAUGGUAUGCUGAGACUGGUUGGUGGUAUGCCGGAGUUUUUAAUCUGUCUCGACCAGUGUGGAAAGUGGAGGAGACAAGUCAUUGCACUCGACAAUUUAUGAUCAAACAACUGAAUUGUAAAGGAAGAAGGACAUGCAGAAAAGGAGAGUAAUUUUCUGAUUUAACAGCGUUGUUACUACAAAUAAAGAAAUCUUGAUUUUGACUGCACUCGACAUUAAAUGAGUUUCCUGUGUCCUGCUCUGAAUUUUUCAUUUCCAGAUUUGUAUAAAGCACCCUGCUUAGAUACAAGUGACAGAUAAGGAGACGAUUGCAUAUGGAAAUCAAAUGUGUAUAAUAAAGCCAUCUUCUGUUUAUUAAAUAAACACAUGUAGAGGAC